UAACCUGCCCAAGAGACUGGGAUAACACCUGGAAACAGAUGCUAAUACCGGAUAACAACACUAGACGCAUGUCUAGAGUUUAAAAGAUGGUUCUGCUAUCACUCUUGGAUGGACCUGCGGUGCAUUAGCUAGUUGGUAAGGCAACGGCUUACCAAGGCAAUGAUGCAUAGCCGAGUUGAGAGACUGAUCGGCCACAUUGGGACUGAGACACGGCCCAAACUCCUACGGGAGGCAGCAGAC
rnacentral:rRNA from 1 species